rnacentral:lncRNA from 1 species
AACAGCAGUAUUGAAACUCUGCUCUCCUCUUCUUGUGUUGCUCCACUUGCUGCAAAUCCAGUGCAAGCCAAAACAGCAGAACCCUGGACUGUGGAAGCAGCUUUUCAUAAUGGAUUUGUUUCUACUUUGAAAAUCUGGAAGUGGCUGUAGGAACUUCUGCAAUGUCCAUCCAGGAUGGACAAGUGGUGACGUGACACGAGUGGUUUAGAUGAAGUGCAAUUCGACUGACCUCAGUGGAGUUUGUUAUAACGCUGUACUGCCAAAGGCAACAUUCAGAUUACUGCCCUGAGCCAAAACCACAUAGCUUAAAAGUUAAGCUCCUCCUGCCUAGAGUGCAGCCAGAACAGAGGGCCAGCUUGUCCGAAGGCUGGAGGCUGGGACUGUGCUGAAUAUUUCAUACUUGGAGAGCCACUAUGUCAGGCACCACUUUGGCUAAAUUCAAUUAGUUGUAGUCCCAAAACAGUGGAAACCUGGCGGAAAG